UCUUACGGCCAUAUCAGCCUGGGUACGCCUGAUCUCGUCUGAUCUCGGAAGCUAAGCAGGGUCGGGCCUGGUUAGUACUUGGAUGGGAGACCGCCUGGGAAUACCAGGUGCUGUAAGCA
rnacentral:rRNA from 1 species